rnacentral:rRNA from 1 species
GUCAAUGCCCUAAACGAUGAUUACUCGAUGUGUGCGAUACACAGUACGCGUCUAAGAGAAAGCAUUAAGUAAUCCACCUGGGAAGUACGACCGCAAGGUUGAAACUCAAAGGAAUUGACGGGGGCCCCGCACAAGCGGAGGAGCAUGUGGUUUAAUUCGAUGAUACGCGAGGAACCUUACCCGGGCUUGAAAGUUAUGGAAUGAUGUGGAAACAUGUCAGUCAGCAAUGACCAGAAACUAGGUGCUGCAUGGCUGUCGU